GCUCCCUUAGGUCAGCGGCGGACGGGUGAGUAACACGUGGGUAACCUGCCUGUAAGACUGGGAUAACUCCGGGAAACCGGGGCUAAUACCGGAUGCUUGAUUGAACCGCAUGGUUCAAUUAUAAAAGGUGGCUUUUAGCUACCACUUACAGAUGGACCCGCGGCGCAUUAGCUAGUUGGUGAGGUAACGGCUCACCAAGGCGACGAUGCGUAGCCGACCUGAGAGGGUGAUCGGCCACACUGGGACUGAGACACGGCCCAGACUCCUACGGGAGGCAGCAGUAGGGAAUCUUCCGCAAUGGACGAAAGUCUGACGGAGCAACGCCGCGUGAGUGAUGAAGGUUUUCGGAUCGUAAAACUCUGUUGUUAGGGAAGAACAAGUACCGUUCGAAUAGGGCGGUACCUUGACGGUACCUAACCAGAAAGCCACGGCUAACUACGUGCCAGCAGCCGCGGUAAUACGUAGGUGGCAAGCGUUGUCCGGAAUUAUUGGGCGUAAAGCGCGCGCAGGCGGUUUCUUAAGUCUGAUGUGAAAGCCCCCGGCUCAACCGGGGAGGGUCAUUGGAAACUGGGGAACUUGAGUGCAGAAGAGGAGAGUGGAAUUCCACGUGUAGCGGUGAAAUGCGUAGAGAUGUGGAGGAACACCAGUGGCGAAGGCGACUCUCUGGUCUGUAACUGACGCUGAGGCGCGAAAGCGUGGGGAGCGAACAGGAUUAGAUACCCUGGUAGUCCACGCCGUAAACGAUGAGUGCUAAGUGUUAGAGGGUUUCCGCCCUUUAGUGCUGCAGCAAACGCAUUAAGCACUCCGCCUGGGGAGUACGGUCGCAAGACUGAAACUCAAAGGAAUUGACGGGGGCCCGCACAAGCGGUGGAGCAUGUGGUUUAAUUCGAAGCAACGCGAAGAACCUUACCAGGUCUUGACAUCCUCUGACAACCCUAGAGAUAGGGCUUCCCCUUCGGGGGCAGAGUGACAGGUGGUGCAUGGUUGUCGUCAGCUCGUGUCGUGAGAUGUUGGGUUAAGUCCCGCAACGAGCGCAACCCUUGAUCUUAGUUGCCAGCAUUCAGUUGGGCACUCUAAGGUGACUGCCGGUGACAAACCGGAGGAAGGUGGGGAUGACGUCAAAUCAUCAUGCCCCUUAUGACCUGGGCUACACACGUGCUACAAUGGGCAGAACAAAGGGCAGCGAAGCCGCGAGGCUAAGCCAAUCCCACAAAUCUGUUCUCAGUUCGGAUCGCAGUCUGCAACUCGACUGCGUGAAGCUGGAUUCGGUAGUAAUCGCGGC
rnacentral:rRNA from 2 species